UACAGAGGAGCCAAGCGUUGUCCGGAUUGACUGGGCGUAAAGCGCACGCAGGCGGACGCGCGCGUGGGGUGUGGAAUCUGGCCGCUUAACGGCCAGGCGCCAUCCCAUACGGCGCGUCUGGAGUGAUGCAGAGGUCGGUGGAAUUGCCGGUGUAGUGGUGAAAUGCGUAGAGAUCGGCAGGAACACCCAGGGGGGAAACCAGCCGACUGGGCAUCUACUGACGCUGAGGUGCGAGAGCGUGGGGAGCGAACGGGG
rnacentral:rRNA from 1 species